rnacentral:rRNA from 1 species
GACGUAGGGUCCAAGCAUUAUCCGGAAUUAUUGGGUGUAAAGGGUGUGUAGGUGGUUCGUUUCGUCCUUGGUUAAAGCCUCCGGCUCAACCGGAGAAAUGCCAAGGAAACUGGCGAACUUAGAGGUCAGCAGGGGCAAAUGGAAUUCCCGGUGUAGGGGUGAAAUCCGUUGAUAUCGGGAGGAACACCAGUGGCGAAGGCGAUUUGCUAGGCUGAAACUGACACUGAAACACGAAAGCGUGGGGAGCGAAAGGG